GCGUCGGUGGUGCAACGCUUAACAUACGCUCCCGUAAUGAGUGAGGUCCGGGUUUGAAUCCCGGCUAACGCA